rnacentral:lncRNA from 1 species
AUGUAUUCCAGAUUACCCUGGAAAGUUUGUUGAAAUGAAGAUUCUGGGGCCCUAAUCUAAGUUUACUGAAUUAAAAUCUCUCAGAUGGAGCCUGAAACUCCACAAUUUAACAAGCGCCCCAGGUGAUUUGUGCCCAACAAAGAUAAAAAAUGAAUGGGUUGAAACUCAAGCAAAAGACAAUGAAGUUGGAGCAGCCAGCUGGACUGCUGUUUGAGUAAUCCAGUUGAUUACAACACACAGACUACAAUGGUUACCAUGGAGAUUCAAGGGCAAGGGUAAACCUGAGAACUAUUUCAAAGGAAACAUCAUAAAGAGGUAAAAGACUGGAUUUCAGAAAUGGAAGAGAGAAAAGAGACCAGGAGAACUAGGAUUGCUGCCUCCUGAGAGUCAGUUAGUGACCAAGAGUACUCAUUAGGCCUCUAGAUAUCAGGGAUAUUCUUGGCAGUGAGAGCAGAGAGAACAAAGCUAAAGGUGCUGAAGUAAGGUGACAGCGCUUUAAAGAAGAAGAAAAAAAAAAAGGAAAAAGAAAGAUAGCUACCAAGAAAAAAAGUGACCUGGUCUACAAAGAUGAAGAAACUGUCGAUUAGGGUGGAAUAAACUUAUCAUGCAAGAAGUUGGCAUAGAUACUCGUCUCACCUUAAAGGUGCUUUAAAAAUAAAGUGGGGUCAGGCAAGGCAGAUAGGUGGCAUAGCAGUUAAGCUCAAGCAGAGAUAAUGAACAGAAAUACCAGAGGAAUUAGGAUUAAAAGCAAUAAAGUCUUGAAUAUUGGCGAGAAAAGAUGAAGAAGAGAGGAUCCAUUGUGUCGAUCUUCAAGCCCUGUUCUUCUAAAAUGAUUGAAGCUGAGAUCUCCACCUAGUGGAUAUAUAGGAUUUUGCAGAUCUUUAUGGGAACAGCCAACUAUCCCUGGAAAUCCUUAAUUUUUUUCUCUUAGAGAAAUAACAAGUUUUAAAG